GGGGAUUUAGCUUAGUGGCAUAAGCACCUGCCUUGCAAGCAGGUGGUCUGAGAUCAAUCUCUG
rnacentral:tRNA from 1 species